ACGGGUGAGUAAUGUCUGGGAAACUGCCUGAUGGAGGGGGAUAACUACUGGAAACGGUAGCUAAUACCGCAUAACGUCGCAAGACCAAAGAGGGGGACCUUCGGGCCUCUUGCCAUCAGAUGUGCCCAGAUGGGAUUAGCUAGUAGGUGGGGUAACGGCUCACCUAGGCGACGAUCCCUAGCUGGUCUGAGAGGAUGACCAGCCACACUGGAACUGAGACACGGUCCAGACUCCUACGGGAGGCAGCAGUGGGGAAUAUUGCACAAUGGGCGCAAGCCUGAUGCAGCCAUGCCGCGUGUAUGAAGAAGGCCUUCGGGUUGUAAAGUACUUUCAGCGGGGAGGAAGGUGUUGCGGUUAAUAACCGCAGCAAUUGACGUUACCCGCAGAAGAAGCACCGGCUAACUCCGUGCCAGCAGCCGCGGUAAUACGGAGGGUGCAAGCGUUAAUCGGAAUUACUGGGCGUAAAGCGCACGCAGGCGGUCUGUCAAGUCGGAUGUGAAAUCCCCGGGCUCAACCUGGGAACUGCAUUCGAAACUGGCAGGCUAGAGUCUUGUAGAGGGGGGUAGAAUUCCAGGUGUAG
rnacentral:rRNA from 1 species